UAUGAGCUCACAGCUUCCUCUCCACUGUGACAACUUAUCGCUGGCCCACAAACAGUGAAGCCAUGGACCACAACUACUGAAAGCACAAACAUGAAGUGAAUCUUUCCCCCUUUAUGCUGGUUUUAUCAGCGUGAACCUGACUAACACAAAGACUGAAUGAGUAACCAAAAGUCUGACCAAGUAAAGCUCUGGAUUCACUGCUAAAUCUGAACACUUAAAAAACUACCAGUUCUUUCAAGCUUUCCCAGAAAAUCAAAGAGCUCUGAAAUCUGGGCUUGAAGCCACGUCCAUCGGCUGCCAACUCUUGCCCGGUCUACCAGCCACUUCCAUUCAGUACUGCAGUCACUGUGAAGAAGAAAACCAGUCAAAACACAAAGCCAAUCAAGGUUUCCCAGGCUGCUUACUGCCUUCUGUGAGUCCUAGCAUAGUCCUUUCUUUACAGAACAGCUAAUAACAUGAAAGGAGAAUGGCAGGUAGACUUGUCAAUGAAAAACACUAAAUUUCUUUACCUUUCCACCCACAAUUCAACACUGUAAACCCAGUAGUAAAAUAAUCUUUCUGCAGUGUAAUACUUUAUUUAUGCUAAACACUUAAGACAAAGAGGGUCAGUAAAGCAAAGUAAAUACAAAUAAUACCAAUAUCAUGAGCCAAGUAUUGGGCAAACCAUCUGAACUAGUUUGAAGUCCGUGCAGCAAAGUGUAGUUUAUUCAACUUAAGGAUAUGUAAGUUUCAUCUAUUAAAACAGGUAUCACUGUUCCAUAAUUUCAUAAAAUCAAUUUUUAAAAAGUGACAAAAUUACUAAAAAUAUGAAUGCUUUUCUGCAUUUCAAAUAAUAACCAUACCAAAUACACAAAUUUUGAUGAAUUUUUAAGAUAAAAACCUUGUUAAAAAUCUGAUUUACAUGACUCACAACCAAGAGAUAACAAAGAAAUUAUACAAAGCCUUUCAUGUAUAUUUGAAAAUAAAGAUUGAAUCUUAACUCUUCAUAGUUCCUCUAUCAUUUGGCAAGAAUACUGUUCUAAUCUAUAGUUCGUGAGUACAGAUUAAUUAUAUAAUAUUUCAGCUACCUUAAUUAGAAAAGUUAUUUGGAAUGAUAGAUGAUGUGUGUAUGUGUGGUGUACGUUUGUGUGUGUGACAAAUUGCCAGGGAAAAUUUUCAAAGCAAUCGAUGGGAAAUAACUAUUAAAUGGCAAAACACAAAAAUUCACUUAAAAAGUCUAAAAAUCUGUUUUUUUUUUCCAGAAAUUUCAUUUCACCAUUGAUAGAAACCAGAAAAAAACAUUUAUAUUGUCCCAUAUAUAGCACAAUGGUUCAAUGGAUACUGUUAUAAAUACGAUCUUACUGAUUUCUAUAACUGGAGUUAAGUCUAUGGUUCUUGAAGGUAAAAAAGAUUGACUUGGUAAAUGUUUAAAAUUUUAAAUCCAGAAAUAAACAUAUGGCUUCAUUAUAAACAUCUUAUGCAAUCUAUUAUUAGAUUAUUUCCAUGAUCAAUUAGCACCAUAGACACACAUUCUGUUGGCUAACACUAUUUUAUUAAGUUGAAAUACAGUAGAAAAAUUAACAGUUCAAAAAUAUUAAGCAUACAUUUUUGUUACAUUGGAACUUCUUCCAAAUCCUACAAAAAAUAGCAUUUAGGCUUUCACCUGUAAUAAAAUAUUGGCUAUCAAGUUUCUGGAAAUGUCAUUUAUCAUUUUGAGGAAGCUGUUUUCUAUUUACAGCUUGUUGUUAAUUCUACUCAUAAGUCAGUUUGAACUUUGUCAAGUAUUUUGUUUUGGUAUCUAAGAAAAUUAUCAUUUUUUUCUUUGAUUUUGUAUAUUUAAUCAAUAUUGAUUCCGACAACCUAUACAUGGGUGGCCUUGAUGUAUUUUUUUAAAAAUUUUGCUAGAUUGUAAUUGGAUAGUUCGCUACAUAUUUUUAAUGACUACAAAAAGUGGAUAUAUGGAUCUACUAUUAUUAAAACUUUUGUCUAGUUUCAGAAUCAAGCUAAUGCUGGCUUAUAAAAUGGAUGGGAGUAUUUUUUGGAAAGGACUUGCAUAGUAUUGGAAGUAUCUACUUAAAUUUCAAUAAAAUUAAUCAGUGAAGCCAUCUACCUGGAACUUGCAUGUGGGAAGGUUUUUAAUUAUUAAUUCAAUUUCUCUGGUUGAUGGAAGGUAUUUUAUGUUUUCUGUUUCUGCUAUGCAAUUUUGGUAAUUUAUAUCUUGAAUCAUUAGCCUACUUGGUCCAAAUUUAUUGGCAUACAGUCAUUCAUAUUAUUCCCUGAUUUAUCUAUGAAUAUGUGUAAUAUGUGAAUGACAUUUUUCUUUCCUGCUAUUGGUCAUUUUUUUCCCUGACCAUCUAGCUGGGUAAAUUAAUUCAAUCUUUUCAAAUAAUUGUAUUUUAGUUUCACUGAUUUUCUCUACUGCUUUUGCUUCAUUAUUGAUUGUAUCUUUUUUUCUUGUUUCCAUAUUGAUUUUUAUUCUGUCUUUUUUUUCCUUCCAUUUGUUUUAGGUUUCAUUCUGUGUAAUUUUUAAGUGGGAAAUAUAGGUCACAGACUUUACACCAUUUCUUCUUUUUUUAAAAUAAGGAUUUCUAGCCUAAAUUUUUUUUUAUUACCACCACUUCAGUAAUUUAAUAGCUGGAUGAUAUUAAAAAUGAUACUGAAUUAUAUCACCAGUUUAAAACAUUUUAUAGCUUUUGUGAUUUCUUCUUGAUCCAUGAGUUAUUUAGAAAUACGUACUUUAAUUUCUCCAUAUUGAAGACUCCUAUUUGCUAGGAGGAGGACGGUAGAGGAUGAAGCCGUGAAGGUAAGGACCAGAUGGCUGCAGCCAGGUGCUCCUUGGGGAGGAGGCCUGCCAGUGCCUGCAGCACCUUCCUUUCCUGACACAAUCAGCCCAAGAGCUGCCCAGGAGAAUCCUGAGGGGAGGGUGAGAUGGGGCCCAGGAAAAGCAUCUCAUCUUCCACAAACACGUGCCUCGCUGGUUACACAGGGAACAAGAGGCGCUGUGUGUAUCUCUCUGGGAAGGCCACGUCACUGUGCAUCAGCUCCUAAUGUGUACACUUCUCAGGGGCCCUGCCAGACUCAGGAGAAGCAGUGACCUUGUCCUAGAUGCCCCAGGGACUAACAGCUUCGCACCCAACAACUUACACAUCUGAGGGAGCUCAAUCAGUAAAACCAGAGCCAAAUAUUCACCAGCAGGAAUCUGAGUAAGAAUGCGGUGCAGCCUCCAAUCCCGCACAUUCAAACACCGGGACACCUCAAGUACAGUCACAAGGUGGCGGAGAGAUGAUGACCCAACCUAACGACAGACUACCCAACUCCUGGUACCAGAGCUAGCUGGACUUUAUUUCCUGACCUAACUGGUAGUUAAGUCUGACAGUAAGAUGUGAACCAAAAUAAUUCGGGUUACUUCUUAGUCUUAAUAUGGAAACUAAUGGAAUGCACCCUUGAAAAUGACUGGAGUGAUGGGCGAAGUUCCAGGGAUCGGCUUCCCCAGGGCAGGCGGGAGCAGCCUCCCAGCACAGGGGAGCCGUCGGUCUCAUAAGCCCCUUGAAAGGUGUCUGGUUCUUGAUUACUAAAUGAGGUAAAACAAAUCCUGUAUGUCCAUGUUUCAUUCUGACAGUACAGUAUGUACCUUAACUUUAUUGAUGAGUAUCAUUUAGCUUAACAAGUUCACAUUUAAAUGCUCACUGUCUUUACGGAGAUUACACCUUGACCUAAAUCAGUAACUUUAAUAUUCUACAACCUAGCUGUCCACACAUGUACUUGGAAAACAAAAAGAUAAUUAAAAAAUAGGUUUGAACACUAGGAAUUCGGCAUGAAGACAAACCAAAUUAAGGGGUGAGGCUCUAAGCGUCCAAGGACAGCGCAAGGCUGUGAUAUAAGAAGUGUUCUAAGAGGAAGUGAAACAGGAAAGGGAGGGCGGUGGACUGUCAGGCAGCCCUCCGAGUUUUGAUAUUAGUUUACAAGAAUUCAUACACUGAACAACUUUAGUUCUCCAACCAUGUGCGUCUGUUACCAAGCCCUCUCCUAGGAAGGAAGGAAGGAAGGAAGGAGAAAGAAGGGAGGGAGGGGAGAAAAGGAGGAAAGAAAGGAGAGCAAGGGGAGCACAAGCUCUGUGGUUGGUGCCUUCUGUCCUUAAACAGAAAAGAUGUUGAAACUCAGUACUCAGUUAAAUAUCUUACCCGUGUUUAUAAAGUUCUUAUAUAAUGAUGAUCACUGACAUGCCGCAGCGGUGUGUGAGCACGCGCAGGCAGGUAAACACUGUCUUCUUCUGUUCAGGAAACCAGACAACCAUGCGGUGACUGCAAACUAAAUACCGGAAAAGAGCCUCGCAGAAAGGAAAAGCAAAGCUAACAUCAGCAAGAGAUCUGUCCUCCCUGCUUUGGGAUUACAAAUUUAAAACCUUUCAGAGAACACUUGUUUCUAGGCACCAAAAGAGGCUUAGUGAUGGCUCUACCAAACAAUGCAAAGGGCACUGAUAAGAAAGGGUAAAAGAUAAUUAAAAUAACCCUUGUUCCUCAACAAGGCGAGUAUUAAGAUCGAAUAGAAGCAUUUCUUCUAUUAAUGUCCAAUGGGGUUUCCUGUGUUUUGUUCUUUUUUUGUCUCCGAGACAGGUUUUCACUAUGUAAUUCAGGCUGGCCUUGACCUCACUUUGUAGUCCAGGCUGGUCCUGAACUCAUAGCAAUCCUCUUGACUCAGCCUCCCAAGUGCUGAGAUUACAGGCAUGCACCAGCACAACUGGCCAUACAUCCUUAAACAGUGUCAUGUUCUAAGAAAAUUAAAAUAGAUGACUUAUGGUGAUAAUAGUGCCAGAUAACACAAAACCUAUGAAAUUUAAAACCUCAGGCCUAACAGUAUAACAAUUCUUAUAAAAAUAUUUCCUAUCGGCAUUUGAACCUAAAAUGAAAACAGGCCAUCUUUUAAAGCUUCAUAUAAUGGGGCUCCUGUUUCUUGCCUUGACCUGGGUCCUUAAAAGAAUUUAGUUCUAAUAGAGGCAAAUUUAAUAAAAAUUUAAAUUAUUUAUAAAUAGCCUAUCAAUCACUUUCUUUUUUUUAACACAAGAAGUCUUCACAGCUUGGCCCACUGAAGUUGUGGCCUCAUCAGAUGUUCAUGCAGUGGAAUAACACAGCAGUUUUUGAAGUCAGUAACGCAACAACUUACUGAGCUAUAAGAAGGUACUUUUGCAGAAUUUUCAGCAUUUUCUACAUAAUAUAUAUUGCUAAAACUUCCAUUUUAGUCAUGACAAAGCUUGACUGUGAUCAUAUCAAAACUGUAACAUAUCUGACAGGUUUGGGAAAAAUUCAAACCAAAUCCCAUAAGGUAUUGCUAUCCGUCAAUUACAUGGGAAACAUACAUACUAAUUCACAUUUCCAAAUGGUGCAACAGAACUACAUACAUUUUUAUAAUAUUAUAAUAUAAUAGUGUGGUUAAUACUUUCAACCACACUAAAGAUAACUGUCCUAAUUUUUAUGCACAAAUUGGCACUAUUGAUGUUAAGAUGCCAUUAAUUUUAAGAUAUACCUCCAAUUUAACAAAAUAAUACUUAGAUUGGGGAAAUAAUAUUAAUUAUACAAAUCAAUUAUACAUUUCACUUUUAGAAACAUUUUUUAAAAAUACAUAAAAUAGUGUGUAUGUAUGUUGAAAUCCAAGAAAAAAUACUGCACUGAAAAUGUUUUUAUGAAUUGUGUUUUAUCUUACAAGUAUGAAAAUUUAUUAAGUUUUUAAAAAUGAGUUUGAUGACAUCAGUUCUGUAAAAAGCCCACUAGUAAAAAUAAACAGUACUUGUAGUGUUCAGGUUUAUCUAACAAAACUUAAAAUUGUGAUUCUUACAAUUUAAACAAUAUUCUGCUUUAUUAAGGCUUAAAUGACAAAAAUUUACAUAUUUAUGGAAUACUUUCCUAUACAUAUGUAUCCUGAAACUACUAAAUCAGUAUCAUUAUAUCAAUUAUCUACUGUAUUAUUUUUAAUGGUGAGAACAUUUAAGAUUUAUUUUUGUUUGUUUUUGCCUUUUUGAGUCGGGUCUCAAUAUGUAGUUCAAACGCCUUGAACUCACUCUGUGGCUCAGGCUGCCUUUGGACUCGCAGUCUCAGUCCUGCCUCAGCCUCCUGAGUGCGGGGACUACAGAUGCACGCCAUCACGUCAGACAAGGUUUAUUUUCUUAGCAACUCACAAAACACAAUGCGGACCUUAGUCACCUUACUGACAACAGACUUCCAGAACUUACUGCUUCUACCUCAAGGCAACUGUGCCACUCUGAACAACAUCUUCCCAUCACCCCUCACUCCAAGAAGUAAUCACAAAUCUACUCUCUGUUUCUAUGGUUUGAUUCUCUUAGACUUCCUCAUUUGACAAAACCAUGCAUUUUCUUUCAGUGUCGGGCUUAUUUUACUUAGUGUUUUAAUGAUUUUUCAGGUACAGCUACUUCAUUAAUGAUGGGACUUCUUGCGUUUUAAAGGUUAAAGAGAGUAUCUGAUUAUACAUUUUAUUGUGAAUAAAUAUGAAUACAGAAAUGUAGCUAUCAAUUCAACAUACUUACUUCAUUUCCUUUGGACUUAUAGCCAGAAAGACAACUGGUGGAUUAUACGCUUGUUCCAUUUUUUAACCGAGGAAACUCGUACUGUUUCCGUAAUGUCUGUGCUAGUUUCUAUCACCCAGUGUAUGCGUGGUGGCUUCCUUUUCUCUGUCCUCUCCAACACUCUUAAUCCUUUGUCUUAUAAUAACCACUGUAACAAUAUGAGACGUGACCUCGCGGUGGUUUUGCUAUUUCUCUGAUGGUCAGAGACACUCAAUGUUAUUUCCAAUACCUGUUGGUCAUUUGCUUCUUUUCUAAAGUGAACCUAGUCAGGUUCUUUGCCUCCUUUUGAAUCAGGCUGCUUUCUUGCUGUUGAGUUGUAGACUCCCGUGUAUCUUUCAGAUAUGGAAGAUAAAGAGCUCUGAUGUCUUGUCAGAUGUAAAGCUUGCAACUGUUUUCUUCCAUUCUGUAGGCUAUGUCUUCAUUGUGGUUUCUUUUGCUGUAUGAAGACUUUUUUUGUUUGCAUUUUGGGUUUUUUGGCUUGUUAUUUGUGCUUUAAGGCCAUACCCACAACACUAAUAUCAAACUUUUUUUCUAAGAGUUUCACUGUUUCAAGCCUUUAACCCAUUUCAAGUUGAUUUGGGUAUAUGGAAUGAUACAAGGAUCCAAUUUCAUCCUUCUGCACAUAGUGGAUAUUUGAUUUGUCCAAUAUUUAUUGAUAAAGUCUAUCUUUGCACAUUUGUUUGCUACUGAUUCUGUCAAAGAUCAACUGACCAUAAACUCUGGGUUUAUUUCUAGGUUCUCUACUCAGUGUAAUAGGUCUAAUACAUCUGCUUUUAAUGCUAGUACAUGCUGUAAACAUUAUAAUUUUGUGAUAUAUUUUGAAAUCCAUGCCUGCAGCUUUGUUUCUUUUGCACAGGAUUUCUUUUGCUAUUAUGGGAUCUUUGGGGUUCUACACAACUUUUUGGAUUUUUCCAUGAGUCUACAUACAUCAUGUUGGGUAGUGUGGACAUUUCAAUGUUAACUUUUCCUAUACAUGAACACAGGAUAUCUUUAUAUUUAUUUGUGCCUAUUUCAAUAUUUUAUUUUCAUCAAAGUUUUUAGUUUUCAGUUUAUAGAUCUGUUAUCACCUUGGCUAAAUUUAACUCUAAGUAUUUCACUUGUUUUGAUACUAACACAGAAUAUUUUUAUUAGUCUUUCAGACACAUGUAUUUGUAUACAGAAAUACUACUGAUUUUUAUAUCUUGAUUUUGUAUCUGGCACCAUCAUUGAAUUUACUAUUUCCAACUUUUUUUUUUUUUUUGGUGGAGUCUUCAGAAGUUUGUAUGAGGAGGGUUACAUCAUUUGAAAAGGUAAUUUAAUGUCUUCCUUUCCCAUCUGGAUGUCUUUUAUUUAUUUCCUGCCUUACUGCACUGGCUAGGAUUUCUAGUACUAAGUCAAGUAAGCUAUUGAGAGUGCUAGAGUCUCAAUGUCUGUAUCCUCUUCAGAAGCGUAUGACAGCAUUUAGAGGAGGUGGGGUCAAAGGGCCAUUAGGUUCUACCUGCGACCUACAAUUAGUAUCCUUAUAAAAGAGCUCUAAAGGAGUUUGUUCAUCUUUUCCACCCAGCUAGGAGACACUGUCUUUAAAGCAGAGAAUAAAUUCAUUAAAUGCUGAUUCUGCUGGUACCUUCACAUUGGACCUCCCAGCCUCCAGAACUGUAGACUGUUAAGUCUCUGUAGUUUAUAAAUUCCCUAGUCUAAGGGAUUUUCUCAUGGUGGCAUGAAUAGAUUCAAAUAGUGACACUGCCAACAGUUCUGCUCAAUGAUCCAACAAAAACUUUGUAGAAUUGAUAUGUUUUUUUAUCUUAAAGAGGGUCAGAUUAAACAUACCAAAACAGAACAGUUCAUAAAGAAACAAUUUAAAGAAAUAAGGAUUUCAAAUCAAGUCCACUGGAGAUCUUCACUGCCUAUCUUAUUGUCUCUAGUUUUCUUCCAAAUAGUUGUCCCCAUCUUCACACACAUUGAAUACAUACUGCAUAUUAUAGAACUAAUCAAAUCAUUACAGGAUGAUGAAGGCUUUUUAGGUAUUUAAGACCUGACACUGGAGAAGUCAAUAAUGACUACCAUAAUGUCUCUCAUUCUUUUUGUAGUAGCUGUCCUUAUUUUUAUGUAUGCUAAAGAGACUAGACUAAUAUCACUCUGAACAGUGAAUAAUAGUAUUGCUAGAUUUUAUAUCAUAAUGUUACAGAAUUAGCAUUGGGUUUCUUAGUGUCUCUUCUUCUUCAGAGUAUCUGUUCAUUACAUCCUGCAUUAUAUAAUCUGUUACUGUAAAUAGUAUAAAAAAAUUCUUCCCAUGUGUGAAUUUCUACAUGUAUAUCUAUCCUUUCUGUAUUAUAGGGAAGAACAGAUCAUAACAAGACAACAAAACAAAUUCCUAGAAAAACAUGCAAUGAAAAAAACACAUAAAACCACAGUAUUGGGUGAUCUACCAUAGUACUAUGCUUUCUCUUGUUAUUUUCAAUACACUUGUCCAUAUCAUCAGGCUUUAUAUAGUUAAGCAUAGUAUUACAUAGCUAUUUUUAUAAAAACACAACUUUGAAGACAUUGCAGGACUUGAGAGUGGUUAAUAAUCAAAACCAGUACGGAUAUCUUUUUUUUUUUCCUUUUUAUCGGUACCAGGGAUCGAACCCACGACUGCCUGCAAUGCAGGUGCUUAUGCCGCUGAAUUAAAUCCCCAGCCCCUUGGACAUCUUUUAUAUCUUGUCAUCUUCAGAGUAGUUGCCUCUACUCUUAGACUUGACACUAUCAAGCAUACUAAAUUCGAAUAAAAUCAACCAAGGAAAAACUGCGGUCUAACAAACCAGCUUCAAAUAAGAUCUGUCAUAGUAAGACAAUGUAAGCAAUACAGGGUUUUCAGUUUAACUUAAUCUACUCUGUUUCUUUUUUUAGUGUAUCGAGGUUAUUUAUAUUAAAGAUUAUAGCUUACCAUCUCUGCCUCAUAUCUGCUAUUCUAUUUUCUGCUAUAAUUUGUCCACUUUACUCUUUCAUUCCACUGUCUGCCCCAUUCAUUGAGGCCUCUCUGCCACUGUUGCUGGAAUCCUGGUAUUUUUUUUUCUCUCUCUCUGGAAUGUCCUUUGGUAUUUUUUGUAGAGUUGGGUUGGUACCCAUGAACUCUCACAGUUCCUCCUUGUCUUGGAAAUAUCUUAUUUCUCCAUUAAUUAUGAGAGAGAGUUUUUCUGGGUACAUCAAUCUUGGUUGUAGAUUAUUUUCUUUCAGGGCUUGGACUAUUUCCCCCUAGGCUCUUCUCGAUUUGAGAGUUUGUGCUGAUAAGUCUGUUGUUAUUUUGAUAAUUUUUCUGUUGUAGGUAAUCUGCUUCUUUUCCCUGGCUGCUUUUAAUAUUCUGCUCUUGUGGUAGAUUUCUGGAAUCUUAUUAUUAAUAUGUUAUUAAUAUGUCUGAGUGUAGAUCUGUUUUGGUUGUUGGUGGCUGGAGUUCUAUAUGCCUUAUUUAUCUGGAUAUCAUUUCUUUUUCCUAUGCUUGGGAAGUUUUCCUUUAUUAUAUCUGUGAAUAGUCUUUAUAGUUCAUUUUUGGUUACUCCUGCUUCUUCACUCACGUGUUUUAUUCUUAAGUUAUAUAUCCUUUGUCAUCUUCUAGCCUUUGAAUUGUUUCUUUCUGUUCCUCAAGAGAUCUUUUCUUUCAUGAUCAUGUAUCAUAAAUCUGUCUUCAAGUUUCAAAAGGCUAACUUUAGUUUCUGUCAAGGCAUUUUGCCAGUUUUCAAUGGAGUUUUUAGUUUCCUGGUAAUCUCUUUGGAUCUGUUUCAUGUAUUUUAGGUUAUGUUUAAAUUCUUCAUCAAAGGUUUCUCUUUCUUUUCUGAGUUCCUCCAUUCUCCCAUCUGUGUUCUCUUGGAAGGGGCUUAUCAUUUCUUCAGUCUUUUUAUAUGUUGCUCACUUGGAUCAGAAGUAGUUUUAAAUUCAUCUAUGAGAUCGUGAAGACAUUUCUUUAUGUCCGCUGAUGCUGUGUCUAGUAUUGGAUGGUUACUGCACUAGUUCUCUUCUGUAUUUACUUCUCCUGGGCUUAUUUUCUCAUGUUCAGCAGCUGGAGAUUUUUUUUAUUUCUAUCUCUUGUCAUGUUUCUGGUUUCUUUCAGACUGGUGUGUCCUGCGGGUCUCUGGCCCUCUCCAUAUUGCUUAGGGUCUUUCCGAAGCAUGCUGACUGGGGCUUUGCUCCCCUCUCCAGUUUGCUGUUAUCUGCGGUACACGCAGGGAUACAGGGACAGUGCAGGCUAGCCUCGAGCCUCUGAGCCAGUCAAUCUGCAAGUUAGGUUGCACCUUGUGGAUGUCACAGAGUCGUGACAAUUUUGUACCUGCUUAUUGGGUCCCAACCAGAGGUGUGGCUCAGCUCCAACAGAUCCUGCCAGUUCUUUCUGCGCCAGGGGCAGCUGACUGAUGUCACCACAGCACUGGACUCUGCCCAACUCCAAGAUGUCCUCCACCAGUCCUCUCUGUGUCAGGGGCAGCCUACUGACGUUGCCACAGCACCGGACUCUGCCCAAUUCCAAGAUGUCCUCCAGCCAGCAACAGCAGCCACGGGACCCAAUCCCUAGCACUCACCAGGAAUCAAUGCAGUUCUUCCUCUUGGAUCCACUGCACACUGCGUCACAUGUCUUCACUGCGCUCUGAGCUCAGCGCAGAUCAGUCAGAAAACUGCGCAGUGCACGACUUUGGCCCCCAGGUGUAUGGUCCUCUCGUGAUCUCCAGCGUGGCCAGGUGGCUCUGGCUGCUUCAUGGGUCCCUGGGAUCCAAUUUCCAGCAGUCACUGAGAGCCAAUAUAGCUCUUCCCCUUGGAUCUACUGCUCACUGCGCCGCAUCCUCCUAGUAAGGGCCUGGGAUUUGCCAACUCCUGUCAUCAGCAGCUGCGGUCUCAGCACAACUUUGGAUUGCCCGGGUGCACCUAGUACAGCAUGGAACGGGUCUCAGUAAGCGUGUGUUUGAGUUCUCCACCUGUGCUUUUCCUUCCUCUUCCUAGUUUUAUUUUUCCUUUCAGCUACCGCCUUGGUUAAUAAGGAUUGUUAUCCAUCUGGCCCUCUCCAUGUUGUCAAAUUCUAGCAUCUGAUCUGAUUUCUGCACAGAGGCUCUUCAUCCAGCCCCCUAGCAAGCUGCCUUUUUUUUUCCACCCUCUGUCUUCUUGUCUUUCACUGAUUUCUGCUCUGAUCCUUGUUAUUUUCUUCUUUAUACUAAUUCUGAGUUUAGGGGUUUGUUUUGUCUCUGAUUCCUUGUGUUAUGUCAUUAAACUUUGUUCCUUUCUUAAAUUGCUGUAAGUUUCCCUAAGAUGCUUUUGCUACAUUCCAUAAAUUUUGGUAUGUUGGAUUUUCUGUUUUUGUAUAACAAGGUAUUUUAAAAUUGCUCUUUACCUAUUAAUCUACUAGCGUAUCAGGAUCAUGUUGUUUUAUUUGUGAAUUUUCAAAAAUUCCUAGUAUUAAUUUUUGACUUUACACAAUUUUAGCUGGAAAAGAUACAUGAUAUAAUUUGAUUUUUAAGUCUACUAAGAUUUAUAUGUGUGUCCCACCACAUGAUGUAUCCUGGAGAAGGUUUUCACAGGUACCUCAAAGCAAUGUGUGUUCUGCUGUUAAUGGAUGGGAUGCUCGGCAUAUGUCUAUUACAUUCGUUGGGUUUUAAGUGUAUCUAGAUGGUUUAUCCAUUGUUGAAAGUCUUCUUCUGUUACCAUACCACAAUCUGCACUCUCUUCAGAACUAUUAUUUUUAUUAUAUAUCUAGAUAGUUAAGUAUAUAUUUACAAUUUAUACUUGCUUGGACACUACCAAAAUGUAAUGACCUAUUUGUCUCUUUUUAUACUUUUUUAAAAGUGUACUUUUUCCUCAUAGAACUGUAACUAUUCCUAUUCUCUUCCAGUUUCCAUUUGCAUGGAAUAUCUUUCUUGAUUUAUUUGCUUGGAUUGUAAUGUGUGUCUUUAAAUCUGAAUUGAAUUGCUUGGAUUUUUUUCAGUUCUUUCAGCAACUUUAGUUUUUAGACUGAGGAAUUUAAUCAGUUUACAUUCAGGAGGUAAGAGUAAGGACAAUGACAUUUUUUAAAACGUAGACUCUAUGUUCCUUUCUUUGUCUUUUUGUCUUCCUUUACUGAUGAUUUUCAGUAGUGGUGUGUUUCAAAUCCUUUCCCUUUUUGGUUUUAUAGUUUAUGGCUUAUGGGUUUUGAUUUAUUGUUUAGCUUUAUGGUUACCAUGAGGCUUACAAAAAUACAACUUAUGGGUAUGACUGUAUUUUAAAGUGAUAACAACUAUACUCUUCCAUUUUCUAUCGCUCUAAAGAAGUAUCAGAGGCAAGAUACUCCACAAAGAAAGGAGAUUUGUGUAGCUUGGUUUGGAGACUGAAAGCCUGGCUGCCUCACCAUUCUGGACUGACUCCCAGGAUGGCAGAGUGUGAAUGAAUGAUGGAGACACCACAUGGGGAGCCAGCAAGGCAGCACCAGCAACGCAGCAAAAGUGCGGGGCCACUCUUGCUUUUUCCUCAUCAAUCCUCUUUCAGCAACUAAGUCCCAUGAUAACUACCUUAAUCCCUUCCACAGGCGGCACCCACAAGGCUCCACCUAUGAAAGCUCACCCCAUUUCUCACUAUCACCAAACUGGGAACUAAGUUUCCAACAGGGAGACACACUUAAAUCAUAUCCAAAUCAUAACAAUAAUAACUCUGACUGCAUCAAAACACAGUCCACAUUUUUAGAUUGUGUGCCGAACAGCAAAUUAUUAGCUAUUAAACAGUUUUGUAAUUUAACCAUCCGAGUAGACAUGUUAGCAUAAUUUUCAUAUCACUGUUACUGAAGUACAUUUACAUUUACCAGCAAGUUUUACAACUUCAUGUGAAUUCUUGUUACUACUCAGCAUUCUCCUCAGCUUGAAGAAGUCCCCUGAGCAUUUCCUGAGAGGCAGUCAGAUGACUGAGGCCCUCAGCUUCUGUGAUGAAGUCUCAGCUCUCUGUUGCUUCUGAAGGAUCACUUUACUGGUCAGAUUAUGUGUAAUAGGGAAAUUUAUUUUCUUUUAGUAUUUUGAAUGUGUCACCCCCUGUCAUGGUUUAUGUCUGUGGUCCCAGGCCUCAUGAGUUUGCAUUGUGCAUUUGUGAUUGUUCAUUGUCUAGUGCUUAGAUUGAUGGUGUCAGUGCUACACCCACAUAGGGGUGGAGCCAGGAUGGGAUGUAAUGGCAGGAAGAAGGUGUGUCUUACUCUCUUUGCUGGUUCUGGCUUGCUGUUUGCAGCCACCAUGAACUGCAGCCCAGCCAUGCCAGCCUGCCUUGGAGCCAACUGAGUAUGGACUGAAACCUCCAAAAACUGUAAGAAAUAAACCUUUCCUUUCCCAACUUGGACUUCAGGUAUUUUGUCAAAGUGACGAGUAAAAAGUAACUAGGACACCCCCUUAUUUUUUUUAUUGGUCUGCAAAUUUUCUGAGUAAUGGAAUGCCAGCCACCUUUUUAUUUAAUCUCUUUUAAACUUGUUUUGUUUAUGUACUGUUUCCUGAUGCUGUUGAGUCAUCUCUGUCUUCUCAUACAGUUUGCUGAGCUCCCUUAAAAACAAUUAUUUUUCAUUGUCGUGAGAGAAUUCAUAAAUCCUUCCCUCUUGGGGUCUGUUAUUGGAAAGUUAUUCUUCCAGGGGUGAAACGCUGCCUUGCGCUGAUGCCCGUUAGGAGAUGGAGCACUGGUCGACUCUACCUGUUACACACUGGCCUCAGCGUGUGUGAAGGUACAGCGGGCUCAGUGAAGACAUGGGAGUGUGUGCAGCGUCGGAUCUGAGGACAGCAUGGGUGGAGACAGCAGGUACCCCCAGCAUACAGAACCCUGGGUGUCCACAGCUAUGCAGGGCAUGCUGGGGCCUUUAGUGCUGAAUGCCGUUCCGGCCUCCUGAUUUGCUUCCCCCAUCUGGGAAGUGGGGUCCAGGGGACCACACUGUGCACUGACAGUGAUGUGCAGUGCAUGGCCUCUGUAGUCACACUGCUGGGGCAGUACAGGGCCACACCUUCAGAGGCUGGGGCCGAGGGCACACUUACGCCUGUAGAGCAAGCAUAUCCACUACCACGUUGAUAAUGGUCCGUGACACAGUGUGAAACUUAGCACAGUGAAGGCACUCCUGAGCCACAGCUAGCUCCUUGUGUGUCCUUGGUGGCGGGCACAGAGCCACCCAGACUCCAGGGCUCUGGCUGGGCUGGCGCUAGGAGCUCUCCUGUCUGAGGCAAAGGUGCACACUGGGAAGCCACAAAGCCAAGGCUGUGAAUGUGGUCAUAUGUGGUCAUAUGAACACGGUCACAAAGCCAGGGUCUGGCAUUCAAGUAAGCGACCCAGCAAAGCACCAGCCUGGGGCACACACCUGAGAUGGGGCAGGGGUGGCACCUAGCGCAUGCCUGACACUGAGAGAGCCGCCUUAGACAAGCCCCGCUCCCCAGCUGUCCUUUCCGUGCAGUGGGUCACACUGCUUCACCCCCUCCUCCACUGUGACCUGAAGGUCCCUUCUUGGACCCUCAUGCUCUCCGGGGUUGGGUGGGGGCUAUCCACGGGUAGAUGACUGCAUCUCAGCUUUUGUCAGGGAGGGAGAAGGGCUAGCAUCUCCUGCUGUUUUGCUGCUCUCCCCUCCUAAGCUGUAACCCAGGCAAAUGCUUAUGAGGACUUCCUCCUGGGAAACAAAAUCACAACUUGCAGAACCACUCCAAAGGAGCUUUCCUAUCCUGUUUCCCCUUAUCCUCUAGGACUGCUAUUUUGUUUCUCCUGUGAAAAUGGUGUUUCUAAAACUGAAGGUAAACAGGACUUUUAAGGGAUACACAUUAUGUACAGCAGUCUGAAGAAAAAUUACUUCUGCCGCCUAUAGAGCACUUGAAAUAUCAUGGUCCAGAAAGAUGGUAAGUUUCUCCACUUGUCUCCAUCUGUGAGAAUCAGCGUAAUCAACACUGUCAUAACUUGAUCAUCCUCAGUUGUGUUGGGGUAAAGAGGAAAGAAUUGUAACUUCAACAUUUAAAGAAGUUCAUACAGCUGUAAGCAGCGUGGUGCUUUUUAAUCAAAGCCUCCAUUUUCACAGCAAUGCUUUAACUUCUUGGCUAGUUUAAGGAAACAAGCAGAUUUCUGCUUUGUUUUCGACACUAAGAUAUUAAAAAUGCUUCAGUCGACUUAACUUUGUCCUAAUCCAUCCAAAGUAUUUAGAUAUAACAGAACAGCCUGAAAAUUUAGUUCGAACAAGCCAAAAUUUCAGGUGUGCCAUUCAGUCUAACACUGAGCCAAGUCGGUGACACAUGGUCUAAGAUCACCACCUUACCCUGCUAGAAGAACACAUCUUAAAAUCCAGUGAGCUCAUUUAAUUGAAGUACUUUUUCCUCAAAGGACUCACACAGUACAUUUUAUCAUUUUUAAAGCUAACCCACUUCAUGAUUAUAAUUCUGAAGUUCCUCCCUUCACUGUGCUACUUCUUCCCUACAGAAUGGAAAGCACUUUUCAAAUACCAUUGCAGAUUCUCCAGAAUUGCCUUCCAUUUAACGUCUUUUUUUUUUUUUUUUUUUUUUUUUUUUUUUGUCUUUUUAUCGGUACCGGGGAUCGAACUCACGACUGCCUGCUUGCAAGGCAGGCGCUUAUGCCGCUGAGCUAAAUCCCCCGCCCCUCGUCUUGUUUUUCUUAAAAUCAAACUUGUUUCACCUACUUCAUCAGUUUAUAGCAUAAGAGAUGAACGUGAAAACAGUUUGUAAACUCUACACUAUACAAAUGUAAAGGUACUCUUGUUUAUCAUCUUAACAAACGGAAAGUUAGCAGCCUCUCUGCUCACACUGAGUUCCUGUUCCUAGUUAUCCUAUUCAUCAGCGAGAUACUAGAUACUUCACUUGUUGGCUUUAUUUUGUUUUCCUGCUCAACGGCAAAAUAGCAGUAAUAAACCUAUGAGUAUUCAUUUCUGUGGGCCUACAAGAAGCUACUUUGCUCUUUUCUGUUUUUCAAUCCGAAAGGAUUCACCCAACAACUCUACUUAAAUAAUUCUUUUUUGUCUUUUGAGGGUUUUUUUUGGUGAAAGCCUAAAUCUGGUUUAAAAAAAUUUUUUUUUGCCUUUUCAAGCCUGCUAAAUAAAAUUCAAAAAAAUUUUAACAAUUAUGGAGACUAAUUUGGGGAAAUGAUAGGUAUCUUUCCUUAGCACUUGAGGCAGUUAUGUGAUAUGAAAGACCAGGCUGGAGUUCUAAGACCUUCCUACCAGGUCAUAGCUGACUUACUGGUAACCCAUCCACAUCCUCUUAUAUAUAACCUGUUCAAUACACCUGAUUUCCCAGCUGCCAACAUUCACGUUUCUUGACCAAGGGUUUCUUUUCUUUGCUGUUGCUUGACUCUGUUUUGGCCACUCAACUGGCAGACCAGAGCCGCCUGCAGUCAGAAGUUGAUGGGAACUACCCUUGUUCCCACCUGUCUCGUGGGUUAGUGCUGAGGUGUGAUUUCACACUGUUUCUCCCCGAAGGAUUAAGCCCCAGUCACUGAUGCCCUCUCAUGCCCUGGCACUUUCCUACUCCAUCUGAUUAUCUCCAGACUUUAAAGUAUAUCAAAGAAAAGGAAUCUGACUUAGAAAGAUUUAAGAAUAAUCUUGCUUAGGGUCACAGAGUAAGUCAUGAUUAUAAUACAAUUAUUUUCAGAACAAAAUGAGCUUUUUCACUUGUUUUGAGAAUGAAAUAUUAAGAAAAAAUUCUAUUCAUAUUACAAACCUUCAAAAAGAAAAAAAGAAACAAACCUGUAUUAUCUCAAACCUUCAAAAAACAUGAAACCUUCCUAAAAUCCUUCAACAAAAUCAAUUUUCUUACCACUUAGUGCACACUACCCAUUCAACCACAAGUUAUUUUUAAAGCGUAUCAGUAACAACUGCAAGAAUUUAUGUUCUGACUAUAUUUAUGGAGGGAAAGUAAAAGGGGCAACUCAAAUAUGUAUUUAAAACAACAAGGCACUGGUAAUGGCUAAUCAGUGUUAAUUCCUGACCACAGUAAAAGAAUUCAUGUUUCCUAUCAGAGUUACAAACUCAAGAAAAAUAGAAGACAUAUGAAGACAUAUAAUAAUAUAAUCUAAGGUUUUUAAGGCAAAUAUAAUACAUCUAAUUUAAUGAUUUUUAAAGACACAAAUAUUAUAAUAAAAUCAUUACUUUUAGCCUCUGUAUUUUGGCAUAAUUCAUUCAUUCAUUUAUUCCUUAAACAUACUUUCAUGCAGUAUCUAAGAUACACAAAAUACCCUGGCAGCCAGUUUGGUAUUAGAGUCAAAGAAGGAGGGAAAAUGACAUCAAGCAGCAACUCCAGAUUUAAGAAUUAAAAACAUAUGCAGCCACCUCGGUGUCCAUGGAGCCCUGUUUCAGGGUUCCACAGAGAGCAAACUCCAGAAGCCCAAAUGCCUUAGGGAAAUGACACAGUAUGUGCAUAUGACGUAUACACACCUUCUCCUAUCUGCUUUCAAGCAUUUUUAGAUUAAGCUGUCUAGUACAAUGGAAAUGUGGACAUUAAACUACUGUUUGAAGAAUAAAGUCAGGGAAAAAAAGACUGUACAUAUUUGACAUUGACACAAUUAUUUUUCAAGUAUUUUAGUCUAUGGUUUGCUCAGUCUAUGAAUACGGAACCUAUGGAUAGAGAAGAUUAACUGUAUAAAGAGAAAUUUUACAGACUGCCAAGCCCAACUUUUUAAUUGUAUACACCUACAUAUACAUAUACAUAUACAUAUACAUAUACAUAUACAUAUACAUCUAUGGCGAUAUUCACCCAUCCCACUCAACAAAUUACAAACAACCAGCAAACAAGACAGUAAGAGGCAAUAGAUCUAUGACAACAGAGAAAGAAACCCUUGCCCUCAAAAUAAGCGCAAGUCAGUUUUAGUAGUUGCCACUAUGGAAGUCAUGAUUUUAAGCUGAGAAGUCUUCCUAAUCAGUAGAAAUAAUGAAAAUUUAAUUAUGUUAGCACGCACUUAAAAAUUUAGGUCCAUAAAAAUGCAUUUUAUUCACUAUUUUAUGUUUAAUUCUGAAAAGCAUAGGUUAAAAUAUUCAUCUACAUUUGAAAAAUUAGUUUCCACGAAUGUACAGAAAACACCAAAAAUUUAACUUUAGAAGAAAGAAAAUAACUCUGGGGGCUGGGGAUUUAGCUCAGCGGCAUAAGCACCUGUCUUGCAAGCAGGCGGUCGUGAGUUCGACCCCUGGUACCGAUAAAAAGAUUAAAAAAAAAAAAAGAAAAGAACUCUGCAUAUUAUACAUUUUAAAAGAAUUUAACAGCUGAAAUGUAACUGAUUAAACCCAACUUAAAAAUAAAAUCAUUUUUAUACUCAUAUCAAAAGAUAAUUACAUUUGUGUUGUGUUAUUAAAGUUCAGUAAACUUCAAAAUGUAUCAAAUGUUGAAGAAUCUUUUUCACAUGAAAUUUACUAAUGUCAGCAGAAAUAUUCAAAACAAAAUUUAACAUCUAAUGUGUAUUUUGAGUAGCAAAGACAAGCAAUAAAAACCUAAAUAAGUAAUUCAGUCUCUAAGUUAUAUAAAUAACUAUUAUAGAGAAUUAUUAUUUAUGUGUAUAUAGAUGAGUCUGACACUAGAAUGUAGUUGGAGUUUUAAAAAUACAGAUGUAGGCUUUAAUAACCAAGUCAUCAUAAUACUAAAAGGUCAGUAAUUUAAGUAGCUGCAAACUAAUGUUGAAACUUCUUAGACUCAUUUUUUCCUAAAAUCUAUGAAUUCACAAAGCCCCUCGGGUUGCCGAAGAGACAAAAAACAAUACGAAAAACUUUCUAAACCAGAACCCAACUUUUUUCUAAGUUACUUCAGUUUUGCUCAAUAAACUGACAGUACUGACAAGAAAAUAAAUGGAAGGUAUAUUGUUUGAUGUUUUGUAUUACGUAUUUUUUAAUAGUUUGGAUCUCCCCAUGUAUGUAGGUUUUAUACAAAUGUUUGAAGUGUCUUUUAGUAGGAAAAAUACAAUUCUUAAAACAAAAUUUUGAUCUAUCAAUAAUUAUAUGCGUACGACAUUAAGAAAUUGACAGAAAGUACUGAAACCCUUCCUACAAGUUAGGUUAUUUAAGAUUAUUAGAUGUAUUGGCAACCCAUAAGCAUAAGACGUGAUUUAAUGAUAAAAUGUAUGACAGACUAGGGAAUGCCAGGGAACAGUGAAAGCAAAUACUAAUAGAAAUAGCAUUACAUACCAAGUAGUCUAGGAAGUUUUAAGUUUAUUUCUCUUGGUAGGUUGUAAGAGACAAACUUGCCUUUAGCUCCUCUCAACAAUAAAAGAGUAAAUAAUUAACCUACUAAAUUGUAUUAAAUUGAAUUCCUUCUACAAGUAUUUUAAAUAUAAAAACAGAUGUAUUUCUUAGCUUCUUUUAAAGCACAAGCGCUUGCCAUUAUUCCGGUGGUGAGCAUCAGUCACACACAGGCUUAACAUCAUAUGCAUGUGGGCAAAAUCUCAGAUCCACCAGCUUCGUUAGCUUUUUAGUUGCAGGCAAAUCACCUACCCAUACCAACUCUGUUUCUUCUUCAGUAAAUAAAGACAGUAACAACUACACCUUAAAGUUGUCGGAACAGUUAAAUGAGGUAACAUGUAGACGCAUCCAGCACAAUACCAGCCAAAAGAUAAUCUGUGCUUCAUAACUAUUAUAAUUCCAAUAUUCAAGCAAAUUUUAAUUACAGUGAAAUUAGAGCACGAAGAGGCCACUAGAAUGCCCACUGUGCUGUUUCAUUUCUCACCAAAGAGGGGGAAAGCUGAUCUGAUAUUUAUUAGGAAACUCUAAUUUUGUUUGGCUUCUACUUCUAUUCUUACUCAUUUUUGAGAAUCUGCAAAAGUGACACACUUCUAUAGGUAACUGAUAUCAAUUUGAAGGUAUCAAUAGAUUCCCUGUAAAUUGAUUAAAAACUAUGCUCUAGGGCCAGGGAUUUAGCUCAGUGGCACAAGCACCCACCUAGCAAGUGUGAGUCUGUGGGUUCAAUCCCCAGUACCAAAAAAUAAUAAAUAAAACAAACAAACAAAAAUUAUACUCUACCUGGCUAUUUAAAUUGUCAAAUUAAAUAUAUUCAAAAUUCAAUUCCUCAUCACUGGCCAAAUUUCAAGAUCUUGGCAGCCACAUAGGAUGCUGGAUAACAUAAAUAUAAAACAUUUCUAUUAUCUAGGAAACUGCUAUCAGAACUGUUUUGAAGGGUUAUCACAGUGUGACAGUAAAAAAUUCUCUGUAUUUUAAAAAUGACUUAAGUAUCUUUGUUUCAAGUAAAUGUCCAAAAGAGCAAAUGUUAAAUACCUUCUGUACAGCUGAACCUCUAGUGUUCAGUAUGUAGCAAGCCUUCCACAGGUACCCUACGUAGGCUUGACAUUAUAGUUUUAUUUUAGUUAUAUUAAUGCAGGAAACAGUGAUUGAGUAGGCAAAAGUCAAGGCUGAAAGCUAUGAAUGAAUAUAUAGUUUUUAAAAAGUAGCAGAUAAAUGUCUAUGUUCUCUCAUCUGACAAAUCCUUAGUGCCACUGAAGACUUCCAAUGUGCAGAUCUCAAUGUUUGUUUUUUUUUUUUUUUUUUAGUUUAGGCCAUUCUUAAUGGCUGGGUCACUUAAUCAAAAGAUUUUGCUUUUAUUACAUUUAUAAAAUAGAAGAGGGCUUACUUGCAGCUAAUUAGUGUUAUUACUCCUGCAUGAGUUUUCCCUAAACAGAACAGCUGAAUUAUUUUUCAAUAGUAUGUAUUGGGUCAGACCUCUAUCAACAGAUUCUGCAUCUGCAGACUCCACCAACCACAUACCACAAACAGGAAAAGAACUAUAUAGACUUUUGUAUGGGUUUCUUUCUUGUCAUUAUUCCCUAAGUAAUGCACUAUAACAACCACUGGCACAGCGCUCUCGGUGUACGGGCUAUCGGUAGCCCAGGGAAGAUCUCAAGCGCACAGGAGAUGCAUGUACACACCAGUACUGCACCAUUUUCUAUACAGGAUUUGCACAUCCUCUGCAGAUCCGAUUCACACACAAUGGCUUAGCAAAGGAAACAUUUUAAAAACUCACUGAACUUUUAUAACUUAAAGAUUAUGGCAUUAAGAGUUUAGAAAAUCUGUUUCCUUCUAGCAUACCCUGAAACCAAGUGCUGGAAUACACAGAACAGGAAAAGGUCUAACAAAGAGUUUGCACUUACACGGACACGUUUCUUCUAAUGGCAAAUUCAUCCGCAUCAUCCUCAGAGCUGCUGUCAGUUGCAUCAGAAUCCAGACCCUCUUCGACGUGCGACAGCAGCCCUGCUGCAGACAGUGCGAAUUUCUGGAUCUCUGCAGCCGUGCACCGAGCAAAGCCAUUCUGUGUAUCAACGCACAGUUUAUUCUCUGCAGUCAGUACGUUGACCUCUGGCUUAACUUCGGUGCACUUAGAUAAACUGUGAUCCAAAACCGAGGUAGGUUCGUGAAAACUUUUCGUUUGGGGCAGCUGAUGCUUCAUAGAAAAUUUCAUCUGCUGACCAUAGUGCUCAACAACGUGCUUUGCCAGGAGCAUCUGCAAGUGCUUCCGAGUUCUUCUCGCCUGGCUCAGUAAAAUUUUCUGUUUGCUUACACAGUGAAGUAAACGUGCAUUCACCUCCUCCUCUUUCACAGCAGCUGAGGAACUAUUAGGCACAUUGGAGAGGCCAGGUCCAGGUUUCUUUUGAGCACAGUACAAUAAACUCUUUUUAACAUCAGCAUCAGUAACUUUAUCCAAAAGGGCGUUCUUUUGGAACUGUUUACAGUUUUGCAGUUGUGCUUUGGUAUCUGCACUGGUAUCUUUAAUCAGAUUUGACUCCAGAAUGACCUGUGUAUCUUUCAUGCACUGGCUUGGAUCUGACAGAGGUUCCUUCUUAAUGAACUCUUCAGAACGCGAAUGGCACACUGUACUGAGCUGAAUAUUGCUGCCGUUACGCAGGAUGCUCCUCAGCUUAUUGCAGUUGGGUUCCCCUGACUUCUUUUGUUUAUAAUUUUCAUUGUAUUUAUUUAAAGUAGAAUUAGAACUCAUUAGAAGAACUGUCUGAUAAUGUUUUGAAGGCUGGGGAGAGCCAAAAUGUUUUAGAUUCACAAAAUUAGUGUUAAGAGUGGGUUCCGGAGUUGGAAAUCCCAGCAACUGAGAGAAAGCGUCUCCCUUCAGAUUUUCAUCUAUAGUUCUCGCACUCUCCAUGCACAGCAUCUUGUCAGACUCCAUGGCACUUGGCAAAGCUGAAAAGCAGAGACCCUUUGCUGUUGCUUCCCUCAGAGCUGGGGUCAUGGCGAUUCCUGCAGAGAAUUACUGGAAACCUAAAAUAAUAUAAACAUAAGUGACCAUAUAUCUAGAAAAAGUUUUAUGCUUAUACUUUUCCAAAAGCACAAAUAUCUUGAUGUUACUGAUUAAAAUAUAAAACCAUUUUUCCUUUAUUUCUCAGCUUCCAACUUUAUCUAAUAAAGGACUAAGCUAUUAUUCUUCCCUCUGACUACAAGGUUAGUAUCUAAUACGCCCACUAAAGAUGCACACCACUGGCCAGGAGUACAGCUCAGCGGUAGAGAACCUGGAUAGCAGGCUGAGGCCCUGAGCUUAAUCCCCAUCACUCCCAAGGAGGAGGGAAGGAGGGAAGGAAGCGAGGAAGCAGGUAGGCUGGUUUAACUUUAUCACGAUGCUUGAGAAAUAACUGUGGAUGCAGAAUUCCAUUUUUUGAUAAUGUUUAGUCAGAUUAAAAGAAAUUAUUCUACUUGGAAUCUUAUAACCACACUGGAAAAUGAGACUCAAUUCUAUAGUUUCAUCAAAAAAGAAUUAUUUAUCUUUGUGAAAUACAGUAACACUAAACUUUCAUUUCUGAAUUUAACUGUCAAAUCUGAAAAUAACAUUAAGAACUGAAACAUAAUAUUUUCGUAAGACCUAAAUGAACUGAUCCAAAAUUAAAAACCUAAAUUCAUAACUGUUACAAAUAAUAUGAUAGUAAGACCUUUCCCAUCUCUUAUCACGUUUCCUGAAAAUUUAUCUGCAAUGCUUUUUUUCUUCUUCACAAAUGGAUUUCAAUAGUUAUCUCUGUAGAAGACAUUACUUCCUUUGAAAAACACUGCAGACUGCCAGAUACCAACUCUACAUUAAUCCUUUAAGUACAUAAAUUUCAUUGUAUUUUAUCAAAAAAAAAAAAAGUGUGAAGCCUUAUAUUCUGAUUCACCAAAAAGGUAACUCACUACCAUUAAAAUUAUGAAGCUUGUGGGGCCAGGGAUUUAGCUCAGAGGCAUAAGCACCUGCCUAGCAAGUGCAAGGCUGUGAGUUCGAUCCCUGGUACCAAAAAGUAAAAAUAAUAAAAUGAUAAAGCUUGAAUUGCUAAGGAGAAUUUUUACAUCAUUAACAGUUAUGAGCUCUUAAAAAUACGUAAACAUAUGACUUUUCAUAGUUAUUUAAAUGGCUACUCUUAUACUGUCUGUCUUCAUAUACUAGCUUGAACCCUUCCUUCACGCUUAUUUUUGUAAACUCUAUGCACAAAUGACCAAGACAGGAAAAAAGGGUACAAAACCUUCCAUGUUAAAAAUAUCACAAAGAUUACAGCCAAAUAACAGACAAGGAGAAGGCAUCCACCUCCAACAGACGUAACAGACAAAUGCUAAGACCCGGAGAGAUGAGGAACCCCUCCUCCAAGUGGGCAAGGACAGAGCGGCAAGGACUCCACUGACCACGGCAUGCGAAUGGCACUGGGUUAAGAAAGCAACCUUCUUUCAAGUCUAACAACAUCAUUUAUCAUGAGGAUGAAGGUAAACAAGAUUUCUUACAUCUGCUGAGACCAUGAAUUGCUCAGUAAUUUGUCCAUCAAGUAGAAAAUGUUUGUCAAAGGCACAAAAGAGAGCAAAGUCUGCAACAGGAAAACACCUUUUCAAAACAAUCUCGAUGUCUAAACAAGAGGAUGGAUAAUAAAACAUGACGAACGAAUGUGUUGAAAGCUAAAGAAUAAUUUAUGAAAAGACCUGGAAAAGCAAUUAAGGUAAAAAGCAAAAAUACAGAAGUAUAUAGUACCAUACAAAUACACAAACAUAAAGCCGCACAAUGUCAGUGUGCAGAGAAAUGUUUACAAGAAUAAAAAGCAAGCCAGAAAAAUCCCCACCAAGCUUCUAACCAUAGCUGCAUCAAGUUCUUUAAAACACAACACAGAACGCUGGUGUAAGAGGGCUCAUAUUUCAACUACAAUUGUUUUCCUUAGGGGAAAAAGAAUAAAAGCAAAA